GACGAACGCUGGCGGCGUGCUUAACACAUGCAAGUCGAGCGGAAAGGCCCUUCGGGGUACUCGAGCGGCGAACGGGUGAGUAACACGUGAGUAAUCUGCCCUGUGUUUCGGGAUAGCCACCGGAAGCGGUGAUUAAUACCGGAUAUGACCACUUCCUGCAUGGGAUGGUGGUGGAAAGUUUUUCGGCGCAGGAUGUGCUCGCGGCCUAUCAGCUUGUUGGUGGGGUAAUGGCCUACCAAGGCUUCGACGGGUAGCCGGCCUGAGAGGGUGACCGGCCACACUGGGACUGAGACACGGCCCAGACUCCUACGGGAGGCAGCAGUGGGGAAUAUUGGACAAUGGGCGGAAGCCUGAUCCAGCAACGCCGCGUGAGGGAUGACGGCCUUCGGGUUGUAAACCUCUUUCAGUACUGACGAAGCGAGAGUGACGGUAGGUACAGAAGAAGCACCGGCCAACUACGUGCCAGCAGCCGCCGUAACAC
rnacentral:rRNA from 1 species